GACGAACGCUGGCGGCGUGCUUAACACAUGCAAGUCGAGCGGAAAGGCCCUUUCGGGGGUACUCGAGCGGCGAACGGGUGAGUAACACGUGAGUAAUCUGCCCCUGGCUUUGGGAUAGCCACCGGAAACGGUGAUUAAUACCGGAUACGACCACUUCUCGCAUGGGAUGGUGGUGGAAAGUUUUUCGGCCAGGGAUGUGCUCGCGGCCUAUCAGCUUGAUGGUGAGGUAAUGGCUCACCAUGGCUUCGACGGGUAGCCGGCCUGAGAGGGUAACCGGUCACACUGGGACUGAGACACGGCCCAGACUACUACGGGAGGCAGCAGUGGGGAAUAUUGGACAAUGGGCGGAAGCCUGAUCCAGCAACGCCGCGUGAGGGAUGAAGGCCUUCGGGUUGUAAACCUCUUUCAGCAGGGACGAAGCGCAAGUGACGGUACCUGCAGAAGAAGCACCGGCCAACUACGUGCCAGCCGCCGCAGUAA
rnacentral:rRNA from 1 species